GUGUUGUGGUAAAGAUCCAAUAACAGCUGCAUAUGUUUCGGAGACCUGCAAGACCGAUAAUAUCGUUGAAGCAUUCUUUAAACAGAAUUGUAAUACUGCUGUAAU